AUUGAACGCUGGCGGCAUGCCUUACACAUGCAAGUCGAACGGCAGCACGGGGCAACCUGGUGGCGAGUGGCGAACGGGUGAGUAAUGCAUCGGAACGUACCUUUCAGGGGGGGAUAACGUAGCGAAAGUUACGCUAAUACCGCAUAUUCUGUGAGCAGGAAAGCAGGGGAUCGCAAGACCUUGCGCUGAUCGAGCGUCCGAUGUCAGAUUAGCUAGUCGGUGAGGGAAAGGCUCACCAAGGCGACGGUCUGUAGCGGGUCUGACAGGAUGAUCCGCCACACUGGACCUGAGACACGGUCCAGACUCCUACGUGAGGCAGCAGUGGGGAAUUUUGGACAAUGGGGGCAACCCUGAUCCAGCCAUGCCGCGUGAGUGAAGAAGGCCUUCGGGUUGUAAAGUUCUUUCGGCCGGGAAGAAAUCGCACGGGCUAAUACCCUGCGUGGAUGACGGUACCGGAAUAAGAAGCACCGGCUAACUACGUGCCAGCCGCCGCCGUAACAC
rnacentral:rRNA from 1 species